rnacentral:rRNA from 1 species
CCGACCUGAGAGGGUGAUCGGCCACACUGGGACUGAGACACGGCCCAGACUCCUACGGGAGGCAGCAGUAGGGAAUCUUCCGCAAUGGACGAAAGUCUGACGGAGCAACGCCGCGUGAGUGAUGAAGGUUUUCGGAUCGUAAAGCUCUGUUGUUAGGGAAGAACAAGUGCCGUUCAAAUAGGGCGGCACCUUGACGGUACCUAACCAGAAAGCCACGGCUAACUACGUGCCAGCAGCCGCGGUAAUACGUAGGUGGCAAGCGUUGUCCGGAAUUAUUGGGCGUAAAGGGCUCGCAGGCGGUUUCUUAAGUCUGAUGUGAAAGCCCCCGGCUCAACCGGGGAGGGUCAUUGGAAACUGGGGAACUUGAGUGCAGAAGAGGAGAGUGGAAUUCCACGUGUAGCGGUGAAAUGCGUAGAGAUGUGGAGGAACACCAGUGGCGAAGGCGACUCUCUGGUCUGUAACUGACGCUGAGGAGCGAAAGCGUGGGGAGCGAACAGGAUUAGAUACCCUGGUAGUCCACGCCGUAAACGAUGAGUGCUAAGUGUUAGGGGGUUUCCGCCCCUUAGUGCUGCAGCUAACGCAUUAAGCACUCCGCCUGGGGAGUACGGUCGCAAGACUGAAACUCAAAGGAAUUGACGGGGGCCCGCACAAGCGGUGGAGCAUGUGGUUUAAUUCGAAGCAACGCGAAGAACCUUACCAGGUCUUGACAUCCUCUGACAAUCCUAGAGAUAGGACGUCCCCUUCGGGGGCAGAGUGACAGGUGGUGCAUGGUUGUCGUCAGCUCGUGUCGUGAGAUGUUGGGUUAAGUCCCGCAACGAGCGCAACCCUUGAUCUUAGUUGCCAGCAUUCAGUUGGGCACUCUAAGGUGACUGCCGGUGACAAACCGGAGGAAGGUGGGGAUGACGUCAAAUCAUCAUGCCCCUUAUGACCUGGGCUACACACGUGCUACAAUGGACAGAACAAAGGGCAGCGAAACCGCGAGGUUAAGCCAAUCCCACAAAUCUGUUCUCAGUUCGGAUCGCAGUCUGCAACUCGACUGCGUGAAGCUGGAAUCGCUAGUAA